GCUAUUAGUUAAGAGGGCGUAGUUUGCAGGCUGUUGCUUCUCAUUCAGAUCCCGUCUCGUCUCGUCUCGCGUACAAAUAGUCGAUCGAGAUCGACAUCCGGAUCCCCGGACACACGGCGAAAUAAGAAAAAUACUUUCGCGCAUCGUUCGUUGUUCGAGAGUUGUUCCACGAGUUUUCUGCCCGCCACGACUUUUCUAAAGCUCUAUUCACACCGCCUACAACUUUCGAUUCUAUAUAUUCAAUCUCUUUUCAAACCUUAACCUCCUAUGUGCUACGGGUUUCAAUGUUCGAAGCGAAUGAAGAAGAUUGCCCGGUUGUCGAAUCGUAAAAAGUAAUGUGAUUUUUUGCAAAGGGUGCCGGUAGAUAAACUCCGCUAUUUAACGAGAGCAGGAACACGCAUUUAACCAACAAGGCCGCAAAUACGAGAGCGGCAGGCAAGCCGACUAAUCGAAAUGCGGCGCAGGAGAGAGGGUUUUGGCUGAGGGAGGCCGCUGCCGAGAGUCCUGCCAGUAGGAAAAGGCCUAAAAGUAGAGCUUGCCCCAAAAAUAAAUGUCGUCUAUUCGGUGCGGUCACUCUUGCCUGAAAAAUAUUAUUAUCAUUAUCAUUAUUAUUAUUAUUAUUAAAUUUGUUUUUUUUUCUUUUCUUUAUUAAAGAACUUGUUCGCUUAUCGUCGAUAAAUCAUUUUUUUUUCUUUUCUUUUGAAUGAUAAACGAACCGCAACGAAUGUUUACUCUGAUAUUCGGUUAUAUUGUACGAUCGCUCGUAAAAAGAAAUUGAGGGAAAAUAAAAACGUGCACGCGUUCACGUUUCACGCGAGGCGAGUGCUCUCGAUUUUUCUUUUUUUCCUUCCAACCAAGGAAAGAGUGAUGAUAUCGAGAUAAAAGAAGAAAAGAAAUUGAUCAAUUGGACAAUUGUUAAAAUAAAUUGUAAGUAUAAUGGAAUACGAAUUACGAUCGGAGAGUACCAGUCACUGUACCAAAAAGGAUUUACCUCUAUGAGAAAGAAGCCGUGGUGAACGCGAAAUACCUUCCUCCACCCGAGGAACCCUAAAUGAUGCGGAGCACCGAACUCUCGGUAUUGCAGUAAGAGAGGAGAGAAGUCGCUUGCAACCGGUUUCAACAAACUAAAGCUAAAUAAAGUCAUGUAGCGGCGCGAACGAAGGAAAUCGCUCUGCCGAUAAUUGCGCCCACGAAAAACUUUUCGUUGCUUGGCCGCGCAGCUAUAGGUUAUGUGCGCCUAUUUGUAAUAUUUAAAAACAAGCGACCAUCAUUAUCGAGUUUGUGAUGAUCACCACACAGGGUUUGAUACGUUGAUAAGUCGACCCUUCCACGGCGAUUCAUUUGAAUAUAAAUCCGGCUGUCUACACACGUUGGAAAUCUCGGGAACGAAUACGAGGGAUAAGAAGGAUGGGGAGCCAAGGAGGAACCGAGAAACGAGUCGGACGAGGGGAGGUGGAAGAAGGAAGAGACGAAACGAAGAAUUCUUUUUUCGUUGGCGCACAUUGUAACCGCAAACCGCGGUGGUCGACCAUGCAGGAUAUUUUUUGUUCACCUUAUUUUGGGCUCCUCCGCGCGUUUGACUUUCUUCUUUUAUAUCGUUUUAAUAUAUUCGCGCACGAAUAGAGUUUACGUAUAUAUACCUGUAUAUACGUGUAUAAUACGGUCUCUUCGUUACUUUAUUAUUUCAGAAUAUCGUGGUGAACGUGGAAAUAUGAAUACUUGUAAUUGCAAAAAGAAUUAAUAAAUUUUAGAAUAUAUAAAUAAAAGCGUUAUUUAAUAAAAGGAUUAUAAUCAACAAGAUUAAAUUUAAAUAAUUUGUUUAAGGAAUAAUUUAAAUUAAACCUGAUGUGAGAGAGAAUAAUAAAUAUCGAGAACCCAAGGAUAUAAUAUUGUUUCACGAGUUCGAUGACCCGAAACCAUGAAAGAUUUUUUUAAAAAUGAUGGUAUUUCAAAUUUUUUUUUUUUCUCACCUCUGUUUACCGUUACUCAUUUACAUGUAAUCAUUAUAUUCUGGUUUUAAUUUUAAUGCUCGCAAAUAAUUAUUCUUCGAAUGAAUAAAUUAAAAAAGUAACAAAGGGAUACGAUAUCCAAUAAAAAAAAAAUAAAUAAAUAAAUAAAGAGAAAAAUACUCGAAGAAUCUUCGUACAUUGGUCAAAUUGGAUAAAAAGAUUCUGUCAAAAUAAAUUUAUGACGGAAAUUAUUUCAAAUUGAUGCAAGUACAAAAUAACAAGUAAAAUUUUCAUGAAUAAAUCUAUUGAAGAAUGAGAGAAAUGUAAAUGAGCUAAACGAACUGGCGGAUAAAAGCAAUAGAUUCGCAUAAAUCACGAUUCGAUGAAUAAUCUUUCAUAUUCUCGAGUUGGGAGAAAAAAAAAAAAAAAAAAAAAAAAAAAAAAAAAAAAAAAAAAAAAAAAAAAAAAAACACCUGUGUAUACCUGCGAAGGGAUAAAGAAGAAUCCAAAAGGGCGACUAUUAUUUUAUUCUGCGCGCGAGUUGCAUUGUUAAAAGAAACUUUUAUUACCUCUGCCAAGGACGAAAGCUCACCACGUAAUCUCGAGGAAAGUCUAUAUGGAGUCGUGAAACAUUUACUUCUUUACAUACGUAUUAUACGAAGGGUACGUGCAUAUAAGACCGCAAUGCACGUGUCUACGUGCGCUUACGAUGGGGUAACGAUAUUUAUUAUAUGUCGGCUAUGAAUUAUGGGCCGUUAACUUUGCCUUCGUGACGCGGCCCUUUGCUUCGCGACCAACCAGCCUACGAAUCGCCACUCUGCCUAUAGAAAAAUAUACAUAUUAUGCGCAUGCUCGGUGGGUUGAUCUCGAGCGAAAAAUUUACCUUUAAUAAAUUGCUCGCGAAUUCGCGAAUUAAUUAAUCGAAACGAAAAGUUAAAAUGUUAAAAGAAUUCGAUAGAAAAUCAAAAUGGAAGAAAAAAAAUCAUCUGUUCGGAAAACAUCGUAUAUAUUGGAAUAUCUAACUGUGAUACAAUAACAUCGUGAAACGUUAUAAAAAAAAAA